rnacentral:rRNA from 1 species
GAUGAACGCUGGCGGCGUGCCUAAUACAUGCAAGUCGAGCGAACAGACGAGGAGCUUGCUCCUCUGACGUUAGCGGCGGACGGGUGAGUAACACGUGGAUAACCUACCUAUAAGACUGGGAUAACUUCGGGAAACCGGAGCUAAUACCGGAUAAUAUAUUGAACCGCAUGGUUCAAUAGUGAAAGACGGUUUUGCUGUCACUUAUAGAUGGAUCCGCGCCGCAUUAGCUAGUUGGUAAGGUAACGGCUUACCAAGGCAACGAUGCGUAGCCGACCUGAGAGGGUGAUAGGCCACACUGGAACUGAGACACGGUCAAGACUCCUACGGGAGGCAGCAGUAGGGAAUCUUCCGCAAUGGGCGAAAGCCUGACGGAGCAACGCCGCGUGAGUGAUGAAGGUCUUCGGAUCGUAAAACUCUGUUAUUAGGGAAGAACAAAUGUGUAAGUAACUAUGCACGUCUUGACGGUACCUAAUCAGAAAGCCACGGCUAACUACGUG